rnacentral:rRNA from 1 species
GAUGAACGCUAGCGGGAGGCCUAACACAUGCAAGCCGAGCGAUAGAGUUUCUUCGGAAACUUGAGAGCGGCGCACGGGUGCGUAACACGUGUGCAACCUACCUUUAUCUGGGGGAUAGCCUUUCGAAAGGAAGAUUAAUACCCCAUAAUAUAAUGAUUGGCAUCAAUUAUUAUUGAAAACUCCGGUGGAUAGAGAUGGGCACGCGCAAGAUUAGAUAGUUGGUGAGGUAACGGCUCACCAAGUCAAUGAUCUUUAGGGGUCCUGAGAGGGAGAUCCCCCACACUGGUACUGAGACACGGACCAGACUCCUACGGGAGGCAGCAGUGAGGAAUAUUGGACAAUGGGUGAGAGCCUGAUCCAGCAAUCCCGCGUGAAGGAUGACGGGCCUAUGGAGUGUAAACUUCUUUUGUACAGGGAUAAACCUACCCUCGUGAGGGUAGCUGAAGGUACUGUACGAAUAAGCACCGGCUAACUCCGU